rnacentral:rRNA from 1 species
UACGAAGGGGGCUAGCGUUGCUCGGAAUCACUGGGCGUAAAGCGCACGUAGGCGGAUUGUUAAGUCAGGGGUGAAAUCCUGGAGCUCAACUCCAGAACUGCCUUUGAUACUGGCGAUCUCGAGUCCGGGAGAGGUGAGUGGAACUCCGAGUGUAGAGGUGAAAUUCGUAGAUAUUCGGAAGAACACCAGUGGCGAAGGCGGCUCACUGGCCCGGUACUGACGCUGAGGUGCGAAAGCGUGGGGAGCGAACGGG